rnacentral:rRNA from 1 species
GACGAACCGUGCGAACGUUGUUCGGAUUCACUGGGCUUAAAGGGCGCGUAGGCGGGUCAGCAAGUCCGGGGUGAAAGCUUUCGGCUCAACCGGAAAGGGCCUUGGAUACUGCUGGUCUGGAGGAAGGUAGGGGCGUGUGGAACUUCCGGUGGAGCGGUGAAAUGCGUAGAUAUCGGAAGGAAGACCAGUGGCGAAGGCGGGUCUCUGGACAGUUCCUGACGCUGAGGCACGAAGGCCAGGGGAG